GUGAAUAUAAUUUAAUAAAAAUAUUAGGUUGUGGACCUAAAAAUGAGGACUAACCCACCCCUAUUCACA
rnacentral:tRNA from 1 species